UCCGGGGUCGUCUAAUCGGCAGGACAACUGGUUUUGGUCCAGUCAGUUGGGGUUCGAGUCCCUGCCCCGGAA
rnacentral:tRNA from 1 species